UUUGGUUAUUACACAUGUUAAGAAGGAACUUGGUCUUGCAUUCAAGGGUAGUCAAAAGAUGGUGACUGAAGCACCAGAGGGACCAGGAUAAGAAAGUGUGGUGUUUGGACUUGACAUCUCUAUUCACACUUCCCGUCGAUUAGUUGCCAAGGGGGCCUUGGAGCGUGUUUUCAAGGCAACACACGAGCAGUUUGUCGCCUAAGGAUCAAGUAGCAUGUGUUAUUUUUGUAUUUUGUCGUUCAGUGAGUUGUUUUAGCUUUU
rnacentral:lncRNA from 1 species